CGAUCGCACCACCCCUGCGUAGAGGCGGC
rnacentral:sRNA from 1 species